rnacentral:rRNA from 1 species
UACGUAGGGAGCAAGCGUUGUCCGGAAUCAUUGGGCGUAAAGCGCGCGUAGGUGGCUUCGUAAGUCCGUUGUGAAAGUCAAAGGCUCAACCUUUGAAAGCCGAUGGAUACUGCGGAGCUAGAGUACGGAAGAGGCGAGUGGAAUUCCUGGUGUAGCGGUGGAAUGCGCAGAUAUCAGGAGGAACACCUGUGGCGAAAGCGGCUCACUGGACCAUAACUGACGCUGAUGCACGAAAGCUGGGGGAGCAAACAGG